rnacentral:lncRNA from 1 species
GCGGCGGGGCGGGGCGGCGACGUCGAUGGCGCGGGAGAGGGCAGGGGGGGGGGGCAGAAGCGAGGGGGCGCCCCUGUGGGACGAGCAGGAGGCCAGCAAUGUGGCGAACGGUGGGGUCGGGCUGGUGCAGUGCUCCUACGAUCUCCGGGGCAGUGCGCCGGCCGCCGGCGAAUGGACGAGCGGUGGUGCGGGCGACGUCCAGAUCUGGGACGAGAGAAUGGGGAAGGAGAGGGACGCGAGCGAACGGGAGAGGUCUGAUCGAUCUGGUGCGGUGACUGGUGGACGAUGAUCCCCGU